AUUGAACGCUGGCGGCAGGCCUAACACAUGCAAGUCGAGCGGAUGAAGGGAGCUUGCUCCUGGAUUCAGCGGCGGACGGGUGAGUAAUGCCUAGGAAUCUGCCUGGUAGUGGGGGAUAACGUCCGUAAACGGGCGCUAAUACCGCAUACGUCCUGAGGUAGAAAGUGGGGGAUCUUCGGACCUCACGCUAUCAGAUGAGCCUAGGUCGGAUUAGCUAGUUGGUGGGGUAAAGGCCUACCAAGGCGACGAUCCGUAACUGGUCUGAGAGGAUGAUCAGUAACACUGGAACUGAGACACGGUCCAGACUCCUACGGGAGGAAGCAGUGGGGAAUAUUGGACAAUGGGCGAAAGCCUGAUACAGCAAUGCCGCGUGUGUGAAGAAGGUCUUCGGAUUGUAAAGCACUUUAAGUUGGGAGGAAGGGAAGUAAGUUAAUACCUUGCUGUUUUGACGUUACCAAAAGAAUAAGCACCGGCUAACUUCGUG
rnacentral:rRNA from 1 species